rnacentral:rRNA from 1 species
AACGGCGGCCGUAACUAUAACGGUCCUAAGGUAGCGAAAUUCCUUGUCAGGUAAGUUCUGACCCGCACGAAAGGUGUAACGAUUUGGGCGCUGUCUCGGCAGCAGACUCGGUGAAAUCUUAGUACCUGUGAAAAUGCAGGUUACCCGCAACUAGACGGAAAGACCCCAUGGAGCUUUACUGCAGCCUGAUAUUGAAUUCUGGUCAUACAUGUACAGGAUAGGUGGGAGACAAAGAGACGUGCACGCCAGUGUACGAGGAGUCGACGUUGGGAUACCACUCUUGUGUGACCGGGGUUCUAACCUGGUAUCGAGAACAGGUACGGGGAGAGUGUCAGGUGGGCAGUUUGACUGGGGCGGUCGCCUCCCAAAGAGUAACGGAGGCGCCCAAAGGUUCCCUCAGCGCGGCCGGAAAUCGCGCGAAGAGUGUAAAGGCAGAAGGGAGCUUGACUGAGAGCCAAACACGGCGAUCAGGUACGAAAGUAGGGCUUAGUGAUCCGGUGGCAUCCAAGUGGAAGGGCCAUCGCUCAACGGAUAAAAGCUACCCUGGGGAUAACAGGCUAAUCUCUCCCAAGAGUCCAUAUCGACGGGGAGGUUUGGCACCUCGAUGUCGGCUCAUCACAUCCUGGGGCUGAAGUCGGUCCCAAGGGUUGGGCUGUUCGCCCAUUAAAGUGGUACGUGAGCUGGGUUCAGAACGUCGUGAGACAGUUCGGUCCCUAUCCAUCGCGGGCGCAAGAGAUUUGAAGGGGGCUGCUCCUAGUACGAGAGGACCGGAGUGGACGAACCAAUGGUGUACCAAUUAUCUCGCCAGAGGUAUAGUUGGGUAGCUACGUUCGGAAAGGAUAAACGCUGAAAGCAUCUAAGCGUGAAACCAGCCUUAAGAUGAGAUCUCUCAUAGAGUAAUCUAGUAAGACACCUUGGAGAAGACGAGGUUGAUAGGUCGGGAGUGUAAGUACAGUAAUGUAUUCAGCGGACCGAUACUAAUAUGUCGAGGGCUUGACUUA